UUUGGGUAGGAACGGUAGAAACGUUCAUGAAGAACGGAUUAAAACUUAGCUAUAACGAAGUUAUGGAGAAAUUUCGUAAAAGAGGAACGAGAAUUAGAAAGUUAUUAAAUGAACCCGAACGUGUAGGGUUUCAUAAGAAAGUAAUAAAACGUAGAAAACGUGAGUCAUAGACUCAAGAACGAACAAGUUCCGAGUUCGAAUGAUCGAAUUACGAACGAACAAACGAAGAGCGUUAAAAACGUAAAAAUGAAC
rnacentral:lncRNA from 1 species